UACGGAGGAUCCGAGCGUUAUCCGGAUUUAUUGGGUUUAAAGGGAGCGUAGGUGGAUUGUUAAGUCAGUUGUGAAAGUUUGCGGCUCAACCGUAAAAUUGCAGUUGAAACUGGCAGUCUUGAGUACAGUAGAGGUGGGCGGAAUUCGUGGUGUAGCGGUGAAAUGCUUAGAUAUCACGAAGAACUCCGGUUGCGAAGGCAGCUCACUGGACUGCAACUGACACUGAGGCUCGAAAGUGUGGGUAUCAAACAGG
rnacentral:rRNA from 1 species